ACAUGCAGUCGAACGGGCCCUUCGGGGUCAGUGGCAGACGGGUGAGUAACGCGUGGGAACGUGCCCUUCAGUUUGGAAUAACCCAGGGAAACUUGGGCUAAUACCGGAUACGCCCUAACGGGGAAAGAUUUAUCGCUGAAGGAUCGGCCCGCGUCUGAUUAGCUAGUUGGUGAGGUAAUGGCUCACCAAGGCGACGAUCAGUAGCUGGUCUGAGAGGAUGAUCAGCCACAUUGGGACUGAGACACGGCCCAAACUCCUACGGGAGGCAGCAGUGGGGAAUAUUGGACAAUGGGCGCAAGCCUGAUCCAGCCAUGCCGCGUGAGUGAUGACGGCCUUAGGGUUGUAAAGCUCUUUCGGCGGGGACGAUAAUGACGGUACCCGCAGAAGAAGCCCCGGCUAACUUCGUGCCAGC
rnacentral:rRNA from 1 species